rnacentral:rRNA from 1 species
UACGUAGGGUGCGAGCGUUGUCCGGAAUUACUGGGCGUAAAGAGCUCGUAGGUGGUCUGUCGCGUUGUUCGUGAAAACUCACAGCUUAACUGUGGGCGUGCGGGCGAUACGGGCAGACUGGAGUACUGCAGGGGAGACUGGAAUUCCUGGUGUAGCGGUGGAAUGCGCAGAUAUCAGGAGGAACACCGGUGGCGAAGGCGGGUCUCUGGGCAGUAACUGACGCUGAGGAGCGAAAGCGUGGGGAGCGAACAGG